rnacentral:rRNA from 1 species
GAUCCUGGCUCAGGACGAACGCUGGCGGCGUGCCUGACACAUGCAAGUCGAACGGAGAUAAAGAUUUCGGUUUUUAUCUUAGUGGCGCACGGGUGAGUAACACGUGAAUAACCUGACCCAAAGAGGGGGGAUAACACCUGGAAACAGGUGCUAAUACCGCAUAAGACCACAAUGUCGCAUGACGAAGGGGUCAAAGAAAAUCGCUUUGGGAGGGGUUCGGCGUCCCAUUAGGUAGUAGGCGGGGUAACGAGCCCACCUAGCCGACGA